rnacentral:rRNA from 1 species
GUUGGCGGCCAAAGCGGUGGGGCUACACCCGGACUCAUUCCGAACCCGGAAGUUAAGCCCGCCAGCGAUCCGAGUGGUACUGCAGUGCGAGAGCCUGUGGAAAGCUCGGGACGCUGCCAGCC